rnacentral:rRNA from 1 species
GAGUCCUACGGGGCGCAGCAGUGGGGAAUUUUGGACAAUGGGCGCAAGCCUGAUCCAACUAUUCCGCGUGUGGGAAGACGGCCUUCGGGUUGUAAACCACUUUUGUAGAGAACGAAAAGCCUAUUGAUAAUACCGAUAGACGAUGACGGUACUCUAAGAAUAAGCACCGGCUAACUACGUGCCAGCAGCCGCGGUAAUACGUAGGGUGCGAGCGUUAAUCGGAAUUACUGGGCGUAAAGGGUGUGCAGGCGGUUUUGGAAGAUGGAUGUGAAAGCCCCGGGCU